rnacentral:rRNA from 1 species
AAUGAACGCUGGCGGCGCGCCUAAUACAUGCAAGUCGAGCGAGAAGACGUAGCAAUACGUUUGUAAAGCGGCGAACGGGUGAGGAAUACAUGGGUAACCUACCCUAGAGUGGGGAAUAACUAGCCGAAAGGUUAGCUAAUACCGCGUACGCUCCUUGGACUUCGGUUCAGGGAGGAAAGCGAUGCCGAGGGUAUCGCGCUCUUGGAUGGGCUCAUGUCCUAUCAGCUUGNGGUGAGGUAACGGCUCACCAAGGCUUCGACGGGUAGCUGGUCUGAGAGGACGAUCAGCCACACUGGCACUGCGACACGGGCCAGACUCCUACGGAGGCAGCAGUAAGGAAUAUUGCGCAAUGGGCGAAAGCCUGACGCAGCGACGCCGCGUGGGGGAUGAAGGCCCUCGGGUUGUAAACCCCUUUCGGCAGGGACGAAGCGGAAGUGACGGUACCUGCAGAAGAAGUCCCGGCUAACUCUGUGCCAGCAGCCGCCGU